ensembl:lncRNA
GCUUUAUUUACAUGCAAUAGUGCUCCAGCCUGUGUAACCAUGACAACAGCUACACACAAAGAUGGAUUACAGAUUCAGGAACUCCUUCAUUUUGAUCUCUGAUGCCUCACAGGGAAGGCUAAUACUGAUGCACCAAUGUAUGGGGGAAGGAUAAUAUUGACGCAGCCGUCAAAGAUCCCCUCACAAGGCAGUCAUUUGGAGUAGUGACCAGCAGAAACAGACUGUCAUUUCAGUCUAAAAUUUAAAUCGGCUUGGGUGUGACUGGGUAACAAAACUUCCAGAAUUUUCCUCCCCCUAAAAAUAAAUAACUAUACAAUAUAUCUCUUUGUACUCAACUAUUGAAGGCAGAAUGAUUUUAAGUUGCAUACAUUUAAUACUUUUGAUGAAAAAUUCAUCUUUAUGAAACGGAGGACACUUGUACCAUUAUGACAACACUGAACAGAAGAGGGAGUAUAUACAACACGGGGGUGUAUAAAAUGCAUUUAUUGAACAUAGAGGUAGUGCUCCCUCAAAAAGCUUGCUCUCUGUUCCUCUACUGAGCAGCACAACCCUGUCCAUUGUUUUUCUUUUUUCUGACAUGCGACUAUCAGGAUCGUAUAAUAACCAGAUGUCUGUUUAAGUUGGAAAUAAGGGGAACAUAGGAGUUCUACAGGGAAUGACUUAAAGCAGACUGGUAGAUGUGCUGCUGGUACCUAGUCAGAGAAACAGUGGCAUGCCAGUCAGAUGAAACCUUCAACAGAAUGCGCUGACUGACUUAAAUCAGCACCAGGAUUGGAAUCCCCCUCCUUUCCUUAAGGUGUGCAGACAUGAAUAUACAAUCACAUAGCAGGAUUACAACAUCACAGAAACUGACAUACAGAUACAUGUAUUUUUCAAUAUGAACAUAUCCUUAUAUACAGCAUAACAAAACAAUGUUUAUGUACAAAAGCAUAAAUAUAUAAAUAUCUGUGAUACAAAAAUAAAGACUUUUUUGUUUUCUGUUUUUCAAGCAUCUGAGUCUGACGUCCCUGUUUCACUCUGGAGUGGAAGUGCAUCUUGGGAUUCUGGCGUUGUAGCUGUUGAUGUUGUCGCCGUGGAGUUCUCCUCCAGUGAUAGCAGAGGAGAGGGAGAGCAGGGUAGAAGGUC